UAUUACCUUUGACCACUAUUUUUCUGCCGAUACGACUACCCUCGGUGUUAUGAGACUAGACUCACGUUGUGAAAAGGCAAUGUCUGCUAACAAUGAACAUGACAUGUUUCUUUACGCUGUUGAUACCGGAGUGAACAUAACUACAUUAGGAGGUACUUGGAUGCUCCUCCCAAAAGGAUCCGGAUUCUACAUCAGCAGAGGCUUACCAUUUACGCUGAAAAAUCUCGGUGAGACAAUGGUCAAGAUUCUUUAUGUACUCGCCGAGCCGUCCAAGGAUGAUCCAGUGGCGUGAUGUUUUAUUGACAUGUUAUAUAAAUAUUGUAAACAUUGUUUUUAUUUCAUUUAUGUACUUACA
rnacentral:lncRNA from 1 species